UCCAAUCUUCUUCCUCUUCUUUCCUUGGAAGAAGUCAGAACUCAGAAGUCAAAACCAUUGUCAAAGAUGUACUGUACUUUUCUUGUAUUAAAGCAUUUUCAAGGUAAACAAAAUAUAUUUAUUUAUUUAAUUAAUUAAUUCUUUUUAAUUGUAGAAAUGUCAAGAUGUGAUUGUUUACUUAUUAAUGCCAUGGAAUUAUUCCUAUAUGCACUUUUCAUCAAACAAUCACCUUACCAUAAUAUGAUUUUACUGUUAAAACUUGAUUCACUUGGUUGUGUAUUGUUCAAUGGCUUCAUUAAUCUUAAGUCAUUGUUGACCAUGCUAUUGUAGUAUUGUUUUGUAUUUUUGUAUAGUGCGCAAUUGCCGCAGAUCAUUUUCCCAUUUCCCUCACAAAGAUCUUAGAUCAAUGCGCCUAGCAAUCACUUCUGAAGAGACACAGAAUAGUGCUAGAUACCAUUUUCACAAUUUUAUUGGAAAUUUCUGUUAAUAAGUCGAACUACAGAUUCACAAAAGCUAACUAAAAAGUACAAUCUAUUUGCUUUUGAAAAAUGAAUCUCAAACAAAUCGACAUCAGAUUAUAAUGUAAAUCGACCAAAAUAUUGGCAGACCACAAAUACAAAGGUAUACAAAUCACUCUCUGGAUAUUCUUAUUCUGACAACCCCACGACAUAUCCUUCUGUAUUAUAUUCCUCAAAAAAAAAAAAAAAAAAUCUCCCUUUCACACACGCGCGCAAUACAGAAUCAUCCAAAACGGGUAUAUAGAUAUAAAAUGUAAAUUAUGUAGAAAGUCUUUAUGGGAAAUCUGUUGUACAACACAUACACAUGCUGAAUAGUAAAGGCUUGUGCUUGCCUUUGGCUCCCCCUUGAAGAGAGGUAGCCGUGGUUUUGCCUUUGUGAGAGUUCCAUUUUUCUUCAUUUGCCUUCUUUGCAACUAGUCUCUCUUGUUUGUGUUGUGAGCCCAUAAGAGAACUUUCUUCCUUAAAGAAACUAAGAAGUGGAACGUUCAACUUCUCUGAAUUAGUUUUUUCCAAUGUGAUGACUUCCUUGUCUUCUGAUAUUUGAUCUUGUGAUUGAUUUUCACUGGAAUUAUCUUCUGCGCAUGGGUUUCCAAUGCUAUCAUCAACCUUGUUUGCGGAUAUUUCUGAACCAGAGCAAUUUGGUCUAAGGACCUCUCUACUGAUAGCCUUCUCUUCGUACUGUUGUGGGGUUUGCUUAUAUUCUUCAUCUGUUCCAUCUCUGGAAACGACAUGUAUGUUCAAGUUUACUGAAUAUGGCUCAGUAGUUAACCACCCAACACCAUGUUUAUCUUCAGUUCCAGGAUUUGCAAAUGCAGCAUUACCAUCUUUCUUAUUCUUUUCUUCUUGCAUCUUGGUGACAACGGUUUCUGCAAUUUGGCUAUCAAAAUUAAAGCUGGAUUUUGUCUCAGCUCCAACCAUGGGGCUAAGCAUUUCUUGUUCAUAUGCAGUGUUGUAACUCUCAUUGCUGUCAGGUGAUCCAAAACCCAUGUUUGAAUCAGUACCACAUUUAGACUCAGUUGGAUUGCAUAUUUGUUCUUGUCCCUGCAAACAUACUAUGAAGUUGGCAUCUUGAGAGUGAGUAUUGACUGAAGGAAAAUGAUAUAUCGGAACUGUUUUGAUAGGAUCUAACUGGGCUAGAAUUGGUUCUCCCAUCUUUGUUUCUUCUGCAUUCUUUACUGAGUAAUCCUGAAGCUCUCCUUUCUCUUCAACAGUCUCCAGUACAAAUGAAGUACCCAUAGUUGAGGAACAUAUGGGAAGCUUCUCUCCUCCGGAGUUGGUAACCACCACUGUGAAGUCAGUUGGAGAAGAUGACACUUCAUGGAGAAUCUCACUUUCUUUCUCCAAACUUGUUCUGUUUUCCUCACAAACGGACCAUAUGUUUCUAUCAAGGAAGGCAACUUGGUGUUCAUUGUCAGUCACCUUUUCCUUGCUACUUCGAGCAUCCAUUUUGUUCCCAUCCUUGUUUAAACCAUCAAGUUCGAUCCCCUUCUUCUCAUCUUCACGUUCCACACCUAUCGUCAUACGUUCAGAGUUAGGCGUUUUCAUCUCGUCCACCGUUGGCUCUUCCUCUGACUCAGGAAAUGAACCUGACUUGAAAUUGUGUUUUUCCUGUUCAGCUUCAGAUUCUUUCUCAAUCAGAUUUGCGUCUUCUGCUAAAACUACAAAUUCGUCUUUGGUGAAAGUUUGUACUCCAAAUGAUUCUACUGAUUUAGUCACCGGAAGAAGUUCCGGUGAUGAUUCUGUGGAGUCUUUUCUAUCAAAUUUAAGUUCGAGGGGCCUUUCUUCAAUUUGUUCUCUCUCAACAUUACUGGGGACCUGUUUUAUUGUUAUCCCAACAUCAACUUCAACUUCAGUUUCAAGUUUAAUUUCGUUGAUGUUUCUCAUAUCUGGUAAUGUAGCUUCUUGAAAUUCUAUUACUUUUUCGUGCAUAUCAUCCCCAUACUUUUCUGCAUUGCUGAUAGGAACAGCACUUCCAUCUGGAAACUGAUUAGCUUCACUCUCUAACUUCUUUCCAUUCUCUUCAGAAUCAUGAGGUCCAGUCAUUCCCAGAAUAUCCUCGUCGCUUUGCUGCAGUACACCUGUAUCUUCCACACGUGGGUUCACAUCAAAGUUGCCAGGCGUCUGUUGAUUGGCAUUGAUAUCCAAGGAUACCACAGAUUCUGGAUCCAGCGGACUCAUUGUUAUGCCCAGAGGUGAAUCUGUUGAUCCUCCUAUCUCUGUUGCAAUUCUUAACUAGUCAUUUUAGG
rnacentral:lncRNA from 1 species